UACGGAGGGGGCUAGCGUUGUUCGGAAUUACUGGGCGUAAAGCGCGCGUAGGCGGACCUGCAAGUCGGGGGUGAAAGCCCGAGGCUCAACCUCGGAACUGCCUUCGAUACUGCGGGUCUCGAGUCCGGGAGAGGUGAGUGGAAUUCCUAGUGUAGAGGUGAAAUUCGUAGAUAUUAGGAAGAACACCAGUGGCGAAGGCGGCUCACUGGCCCGGUACUGACGCUGAGACGCGAAGCGUGGGAGCGAACAGG
rnacentral:rRNA from 1 species